rnacentral:rRNA from 1 species
GACGAACCGUGCGAACGUUGUUCGGAAUCACUGGGUUUAAAGGGCGCGUAGGCGGGCUGUCAAGUCGGUGGUGAAAUCUUUCGGCUCAACCGGAAAAUCGCCUUCGAUACUGGCGGCCUUGAGGGAGGUAGGGGCAUGCGGAACUUCCGGUGGAGCGGUGAAAUGCGUAGAUAUCGGGAGGAACACCAGUAGCGAAGGCGGCACUCUGGGCCGGUACUGACGCUGAGGAGCGAAAGCGUGGGGAGCGAACAGG